UACGGAGGGGGCUAGCGUUGUUCGGAAUUACUGGGCGUAAAGCGCGUGUAGGCGGCCCGGUAAGUCCGCUGUGAAAGUCCAGGGCUCAACCCUGGGAUGCCGGUGGAUACUGUCGGGCUCGAGUCCGGAAGAGGCGAGUGGAAUUCCUGGUGUAGCGGUGAAAUGCGCAGAUAUCAGGAGGAACACCAAUGGCGAAGGCAGCUCGCUGGGACGUGACUGACGCUGAGACGCGAAAGCGUGGGGAGCAAACAGG
rnacentral:rRNA from 1 species